AGUGAACGCUGGCGGUAGGCCUAACACAUGCAAGUCGAACGGCAGCACAGUAAGAGCUUGCUCUUACGGGUGGCGAGUGGCGGACGGGUGAGGAAUACAUCGGAAUCUACUUUUUCGUGGGGGAUAACGUAGGGAAACUUACGCUAAUACCGCAUACGACCUACGGGUGAAAGCAGGGGAUCUUCGGACCUUGCGCGAUUGAAUGAGCCGAUGUCGGAUUAGCUAGUUGGCGGGGUAAAGGCCCACCAAGGCGACGAUCCGUAGCUGGUCUGAGAGGAUGAUCAGCAACACUGGAACUGAGACACGGGCCAGACGCCUACGGGAGGGAGCAGUGGGGAAUAUUGGACAAUGGGCGCAAGCCUGAUCCAGCCAUACCGCGUGGGUGAAGAAGGCCUUCGGGUUGUAAAGCCCUUUUGUUGGGAAAGAAAAGCAGCAGGUUAAUACCCCGCUGUUCUGACGGUACCCAAAGAAUAAGCACCGGCUAACUUCGUG
rnacentral:rRNA from 1 species